AGUGAACGCUGGCGGUAGGCCUAACACAUGCAAGUCGAACGGCAGCACAGUAAGAGCUUGCUCUUACGGGUGGCGAGUGGCGGACGAGUGAGGAAUACAUCGGAAUCUACUUUUUCGUGGGGGAUAACGUAGGGAAACUUACGCUAAUACCGCAUACGACCUACGGGUGAAAGCAGGGGAUCUUCGGACCUUGCGCGAUUGAAUGAGCCGAUGUCGGAUUAGCUAGUUGGCGGGGUAAAGGCCCACCAAGGCGACGAUCCGUAGCUGGUCUGAGAGGAUGAACAGCCACACUGGAACUGAGACACGGUCCAGACUCCUACGGGAGGCAGCAGUGGGGAAUAUUGGACGAUGGGCGCAAGCCUGAUCCAGCCAUACCGCGUGGGUGAAGAAGGCCUUCGGGUUGUAAAGCCCUUUUGUUGUGAAAGAAAAGCAGCAGGUUAAUACCCCGCUGCUCUGACGGUACCCAAAGAAUAAGCACCGGCUAACUUCGUG
rnacentral:rRNA from 1 species